AAAAAAAAAAAACAACCUAAUUCCCCAAGUCUCUGAAGUGGUUAUAUGCUUGCUUCUGAGAGGCCCAGAAGAGUGGAGCCAGUAGAUAUCUUUGUGAGUUGACCAUUAAGUGCCCACUGUUCACAUAGUUUACAACGUCACGUGUGUUUUUUUAAGAAAUAGCUGUAGAGUCUUGCACUUUCAGGUUGACCUGGAAGGGUGGAGGGGGGAAAUUGCUGGGGCUCCUCCGGAGCGUGCUAAAAUCCACCCGGCAUCCCCAGGGAGGUACUUCCAAAUAUCGGUGACUGCUCUCAGGGACAUCUUUGCAUGCUGGAGGAAAUGCUCGAGGGGAAAAAGGUCUCUCAGACAGUAAUACUGUCUGUGUUUUUAUGAGGGGAAGGUUAAUGUGCCUGCUGGGAACUUAACGUUAAUUGAAUUCGUGAUUAAAACCGGCCAGGACUCAUUACUUUUUGCCUGGUGAGUUUGCUGUUGGAAUACUUAAGUUAUCUUAAAUAGUUUUGACCCGAGUCAUACUGGAGCAAGUGAGGGGAAACCCUGAAAUCUGAAUAUCCAGGUCUUGUCCUAAAUAGGCUUCCUGGGCUGCCCUGCCUGGGAGGAGCCCAAAGGGGCUGUAAUUCCCCAUGGGUGCAGCUUGGCCAGUUCCAGCAGCCAUGAAUUCAGGAGGGCAGAGGGGGCACGGCUCUCCUGAUGCCACAGCAGCUCCGGAGGGACUUCUCUUCUGUAAACUCACCCCUACCCAGGCCGUCUUGCAAAUCCUUGUCACCAGAGCAGCUUGUCAGUGGAGGUUUGUUGCCACCACACGGAGGCACUGGUGGCCCUGUGCAGUCAGGGGCACCUGCGGGGAAUAUACACGAAGCCCAGUUUUACUGAGUGUGAUAAAAACCAAGCUGUAAAUGUUCCCUUGCUCAGUGUUCCACAUAGCCUUCUCUCUCUUUCUAGUGUUUAGCUGGGAGAACACCUUUUUUUUCCCCCUUGAGGUCAGUGUAGCAAGUGCUUUGCUGGCUCUCCAUCAUUUCAUUGCCAUCUUCCCUAACUGCUCCUUUCUAUCCCUCCGUAACUUAAGCUCUACGAAACCAGUAUCUCAAGGAUGCGUUUCUAUUUGUCCCAGUGAAAUGCAUCUGUGUGCGUGUAGCUCCCAGCUCUCCCUGUACGUGGCCUGGAUUUGAGAGCACUUCCUACUGGUUUUCCAGCUUUAACCAAGGUUAACAACUUCUGGUACCCCCAUGGAAGGGCAGCGGUGUCAGGGAGAUUCAUUAAACAGCAGUGUAGCAGCACUAAGGGGAAACUAAGAUGAUGUUUGACGAGGGUCACUCUACCUUUCUGUAGGUUUUUCUUGGUCUGCAGCCCACAAGCACCUUUCACUUGAGCGUGUCUCAGACCACCUCUCUUCUGCUGGGCCACAGCAGCACUGAAAGGCACCCAUCUCUGAGGAGGUGCCAGCGGGGCCACCACCCACAUGGGACCAGCAGGGAGGCUGCUGAGGCCUUUGCUUACACCAGCUUCUUCAGAAAGUACUUUGGGGUGGCUAAAGUCUGCCUGCCAGAGAUGGGACAUCCAGCCAAGGCAUUAGGAUUCGUGUAGUUUUUGGAAAGAGGACGGUCUGAAUUAUCCCAGCCAGAGCUUAUUCCCCUAACAUUGCAAAGAUGCUAACAGUAGGUCCUAAAUUAAAUGAAACCAAAGAUGAGAUUACUAGUAGGUAAUAUCUACUAGCAGGUAUCUAGAUAAGCAGAAAGAAAACUAACACAUGGGGAAGCUAAUGGGAUUUCCCUCCCAUGGUAUCACUUGAGAGUUAGAGUUGUUAGGUGCCCUAACCCAUUAAGACGUCUUAUUUCUUGUAUGUUCCAUCUUAAUAUCCUUUUCAAACAUUAAUUUUCUGGGUUUGUAGUGACAGCUUUUUGGAGUGAUUUAUAUUAACACUGAAGUCUUCUACCUCAGAUGAGUGUUGCUUUCUCCACCAUAACCCUAUACUCGCGUAGAUUUCUAUCCCAGAACUUAAUUUUAAAGUAUUAAGGACUGUAUGACGUGAACAUCAGAGGUUGACAUCUGUAAAAAAAGUCCCCAACAUCCCUGCUUUUACUUGUAUGAAGAUGUGUAAAAGACCUCUUUUUCUAACAUAUGGCACUAGAGUAACAGUUUUGGCAUUUGACUUGGCGCUGCUAUAAUUCAAAUCAAGGCUUACGCUGAGUUUUCACCACCGGUCUGGUCCUCCAUGGCCUUCUGAUCCCUUCAGGGCUGUUUUGCACGCUUAUAUGUAGGUGUCCACUGCCUGGGCUGUGGAUUUCUCCUCUGCCCGCAGUCCCACUGAGGUUUCUCAAUGGGCUGAGGCCACGAGUUGUUCCUUGGAAGCACCAGAAACCGGGUGCAGGCUCCUGCCGGCAGCAGCGACAGCCCAGCCCGGCCGGGAAAAGCAAGUGGGUGGCCUCAUCCCUUUUGAGAACAAUAGGAAACAACAACCAUUUCUGGGUAAAACAAGAGCUUGUUGUGAGAAGCAAAUGCUGGAUGUGCAGUCCCCCUGCUGCUGCAGAAAAGCAAGUGGCAGGAAUUCCCUCUGACUCUACUUGAAAUUAACCCUUCCUUGAAAAGAAACCCAGUUUGGUGUAGCCUCUGCGUGACGUCCUGACGGUUUUAACCAAAAGGGUGGUGUGAAACGUGCCGUUGCGUGUUGUGCCAGGCAGGUGUCGGGCCUCCGGAUUUCCUCGAGAGCCCAUUUUUGAGCUGUGUCAUCUUAGGAGCUAGUUUUUCAGUUUGGUUGUGAGCUCUCAUGCGUGGCAGGUGAUGUGAGGCCGUGCCGAAAUUCUCACCCGUCAGUCAGGGCAUCAGCCGAGGUGCGAAGUUCUCGGUUGAACUGUAAAGCUGAGAAGGCUCCUUCACACUAGUGUCGCUUGGUGUUGUGUGUUGUUUUGGUUUUUUUUUUUCUUAAGCUUGAAAAUUGCCUCUUAAAAACAAAAACGGC